CUAGCUGGAGACUAGUGUUAAUAAGAAACUCUGCAAGUCACAGGAUCGUUCCUGUGCCAAUCCUUGAAAGGGGAUGAUAUUACUACAGAUCUUGCCUCUCAGGCUGACAGACCAAGAACCAACAAAACGGGCAUCUUGCCAAUGAAGGAGAAGUUUGGGCAUGCCGAGUAAGCUGCUGAUGUCAGGUGGGCAGGUGGAAGAAACAGAAAGCCUUUUCAGAGAUGAGGGCAGUUCAAAACCAUUGACUGACAACUAGAUCUGAGAGGAAGGCUGACAAGGCAAGACCAGAUUUCAGCACUCUAGUCCUGAAGACAAGGACAGGAGAAAAGAAGAAAAAGGAAAAAAAAGGAGUGGAGAUAGAGUAUUGGAAAGAAUAAAGACUUUUGGCCUGAUAAUUGCCCUGAUGCUCUACUUGGUCACUUGUAACAAUCACAAGAUCAAGACUUUUAGGAGACUCAAACAUAUCCAUACUAUAGAAUGAAAGGGUCAGCUAAGUGGCACAGUGGAUAGAAUGCUGGGCCUGGAGUCAAGAAGAUUCAUUUUCCUGAAUUCUAGUCUGGCUGCGGACACUUACUAGCA
rnacentral:lncRNA from 1 species